GAGAGCUGGUGUUACCAUCAUUAAUCAGGACCAGCUGUGACAGAACAACCGACAGAAAUAAACUAAAGAAACAAGAGAUGCUGGAGACAGUUUUGCAGGUUUAAAAACAAUGUACGGUGGUAACAGAACCUAUUGGAGAGAAGCAAAGUGUUGUUCUACAUGCACAGGGGGCAAAAAGUUUGUGACAAGAGGUGGACAAACAAAAUUAGGUGAUUUUCAUCAUGUGACAUCAAGCCAAUUUCAGCACGGCGGUCCAACCAUGGAGGAGCUCCCAAAUCUACAGCAAUUGCAUCACACCAUCAUGACCAUAUAAUUAAAGAUCCCUGAGAAAAUCCACUGUAACUCUGCUUCGGUAAUCUUGUUUGGGGUCAUGGAGUGUCCAGUUCCUGUUCUAGGAGGUCAGAAGUUGGAAGCAGGACAGAAAAUGAGCAUCUGCUAUAAAAUUCCAAUUCCCUCUUGGAACAAGGAGUGUUCCUUCAUAUUG